rnacentral:rRNA from 1 species
CCAGACUCCUACGGGAGGCAGCAGUGGGGGAUAUUGCACAAUGGGGGAAACCCUGAUGCAGCGACGCCGCGUGAGUGAAGAAGUAUUUCGGUAUGUAAAGCUCUAUCAGCAGGGAAGAAAAUGACAGUACCUGACCAAGAAGCCCCGGCUAACUACGUGCCAGCAGCCGCGGUAAUACGUAGGGGGCAAGCGUUAUCCGGAUUUACUGGGUGUAAAGGGAGCGUAGACGGUUAUGUAAGUCUGGAGUGAAAGCCCGGGGCCCAACCCCGGGACUGCUUUGGAAACUGUGUAACUGGAGUACAGGAGGGGCAGGCGGAAUUCCUGGUGUAGCGGUGAAAUGCGUAGAUAUUAGGAGGAACACCGGUGGCGAAGGCGGCUUACUGGACUGUAACUGACGUUGAGGCUCGAAAGCGUGGGGAGCAAACAGGAUUAGAUACCCGUGUA